rnacentral:rRNA from 1 species
UACAGAGGUCUCAAGCGUUGUUCGGAUUCAUUGGGCGUAAAGGGUGCGUAGGCGGCGCGGUAAGUCGGGUGUGAAAUCUCGGAGCUUAACUCCGAAACUGCAUUCGAUACUGCCGUGCUUGAGGACUGGAGAGGAGACUGGAAUUUACGGUGUAGCAGUGAAAUGCGUAGAGAUCGUAAGGAAGACCAGUGGCGAAGGCGAAUCCCUGGAAAAUACCUGACACUGAGGCACGAAAGCUAGGGGAGCAAACAGG